AUAUACGAGUAUAUAUUCAUAAAUAUACAAUGUAAUGUAAUAAUAAUUAGUAGUAGUAGGUAAACAGAACUUCAUACGGUUGCUUCCGCGAGUCCUACACAUAAAUAAAACUGCUUAAAUACGGCUUAAUAUAGCUUUUUAUUACUUCUGACGUCAGGGCAGUCACGUACGGCUGGUAGGUACAUGAAAAAAAAACAACGUGAAAUUAAAAUUUAAAAUUAGUUUUAGUUAUAUUGUAUGAACGUUUGUUUAUUGCGUAUAAUGAAGGCUUUCGUAACGAUUUAACUUUAGUCGAUUGAAUUGAAGUUUUAUAUAGUUGUAAUAUACUUGUAAUAGAUGCCGUAACAUCGCACGCGAUUACUUUCAAGAAUUGGGUUAUGUCUUUUUUUUUAUGGUUGAGGCUUUACUGGUGGCUCGGAGGCCUUUCCAGUUUCACAAGGACAGGUGGGCGAGCAAAGGUUCAGCCAGAAGGGGCAGGAUUUGUUAACAGCUACCCGAGCGCCUCCAAGGGAGACCUAACAAUUCAAGAGUAGCUGCUUCCCGAAUGGUUAUUGGAUCUGAUGGAUCUGUAAGGACGUGUCUAGGGCGACGAAGGUGACUGGCUCCUGCGUGAUUAGGAUUGGGUUAUGUCGCACAUUGAGCGAGUCGCUUUUCGCCUUUCUCCAGCUCCGAAUUCACUACUAGUGUCAGCGUAAAAUAACGAAAUUCGCAUCAGAUGGGCUGUGAGUUUGUUUAGGGAAAUAAUGGGCAUCUCAGAAAAAAACUUCUUACGUCGAUAAUCCUCAAUGCUGAGGAUCGUGACCUCAAAGAGGCUUUCUUGGGAAAAUACACAUGGUGGGGUCCCGAGUCCUUCCGCGGCAGUGCCUUUGGAACAGAUUUAGUUCUUCAAAGCCACAGAAACCUUAUUUGGGUCCGGCUAAUUAACCGCCGCCCAACAUUCGGCGUUGAUUGUUUUACGGUGGAAAGAUCGAACUCCAACUCAACCCUCCUCUUUUCUCCUCCGGGCUUGGGAUGGGCAUUGGCAGAGCAAACCCUCAGACACAGCCCGGUUCUCGCCGGAUCUUCUCAGUGGGUCGCGUUUGCGAUCCGGUGGUAGAUUAUGCGAAGUACGGCUCUUGCUAGGGUUCGUGUUAGCAACGUCGUCAGGUUUGAGCCCCGCGAGCUCAACUACUAGUUAAGGUUAUGCUGAAAUAGCCUCUUAAGGCUCUCAGCUUAGGUAGGAAAAAAAAAUUCAUGUAAAAAACAAUCCAUCAGAAACUUUAAAUGGAAAUAAAUGCAAAAUUCGCCGAUAUCUUUUAAUGACGUGCAGGUACGUACAAUGGAAAUCAAUUCUAAAACCAUUAAGCUUGUUUCAUUGAAACAACAAUAUAAUUUUUUUCGUCUUGUCCUUUACUUAUUUUAUUGCAUAGAUUUAGAAUAGGCAGAGUGGUGGUACCUACCCAUGCGGACUUACAAUGCGCCCUACCACGGGUAAAUUUUGCCGAUUUGAUUUUUAUUACACGAAUUUUUACACCUUAAUCUUUGAAGUCCGUGCUAAUUACAAGCUACACAUGCUAAUUACGUAUACCUUUAGAAUAAAUGUUACCUGUCUGUGGGAUUUAAACACUAGCAUGGUCUCAUGGCUCGAUACGAGUAUAUCGGAUAUCUUAUUUUUAAAUCAAGAUGACAUUACUUUCUAAAUUAGGCACUACUUGAAUAUGGCGACAUUAAUUUUAUUUAGCUUAUAACGUAAUCUAUUUAUUUUAUCCUUUUUGAUAGUACCGUAUAUUUCUCGCUGUAUCUAGAAAAUAUGUACGUACCUAUCCAGACCUGUUAUAUGGUGAAUAGGCAGUCAUGAUUUAUAGUGAGUCUCCAACUUCAUGUAACAUGAACAGACACUACAUUGAGCAUAUUACAUUAUUAUCAUCUUCUGCGCCGCUUAACACUUGGCAGAGUGGUCAUGGCCUUCAAGAGUGGAGGUGCCAGUUUUUCUACCAGGCAUCACUAUCUUCUAGCUGCGCUUCUGGUGCAUCGAACAAUUCGCUGGAGUCUUCUUUUGAUUGGUCCGCAUCUGCCGCGUGUUCUGGUACCCUUCAUUCUACUAAACAUUUAGUCGAAAAUGAUUCUUCACAGCACUCAAUUAAACACAGAUCUCGUUAAUAUUUUCAGGUAAUCUACUGUACCAAUACGUGCCGAAGGUAGAAAUAUUGGUACCAGAAAAACGAAGGAAAUACACAAAGAAAGCAAUAGAAGACGCCCUGAGGGCGGUCGAGAAUGGGAUGAGCAAAAAUUUGGCAGCGAAAACGUUCAAAGUGCCCCGGAGUACGUUGAUAUUUAAAAGCAAACACCCGGAGAAGCAGGACCGGCCGGGGCCAUCGACCGCGCUGACAAUUCAAGAAGAACGUGACAUUGUUAAAUGGAUCAAGAUUAACGCUGAAAAAGGCUUGCCGAUAAGGAAAGAGGAUCUCAUCGCCAGAAUAUAUAAAUCCCCGAAGUCCGUUUAAAGGGUAAACAGAAACGGUACAAACUCUACCGGGUCAUACUGAAUGAUAUUAAAACGAAAACGUGUUAGAUAUCCUAACGAGCGGUCGUGUAACGCAGUUAAAAGCUAUUUUAAAUUGCGGAUCAAUGAAAAUUGCGACUACCUAUUCCUAUAUGUCACGCCAUAUUUAUUGAUAGCUAAGUUAUUGACGUUUUUUUUUAUGUCGCAGUUUUAUUAAGUUAUCCAAUGUUUCGCAAACAAAACCAUUAUUGAAACGACGUUCGCCAACGGGGGCAAACCACUAAAUGACUACAAUUUUGUAGUCAAAUGUUCACUGCAACAUGCCUGUUGGAAGAAAGUUCCGGUGUCAACUGAAAAGUGCAGGCGCAACUGUUUUUUAUAAAUUGAAGUUUAUUUUACUUACCAUAUUUAAAACAAAGUUUUCGUCCCGUUCAAAAUAGCUUAAGUAUAAAAGUUUUAUUUUUCUUUCUAUAAUUAGAAAAAAAAUUAUAAAGCUAUUAGAUACUAUUUGUCCAAAAUGAAUUUUGUUUCAAUAAUACCCUGCUUUAAUAAAUUUGUUAAAUAAUUCUGUUUAAUUGCUAUUUUGAUUGUUUAUAACUUGUCGGAAGUAAGCAUCGUAAACCCUGUUGUUCUUAAUGCCAUUUAACUGUAGGCAGCGACUUGGCUCUGUCCCUGGCAUUGCUGACCACCAUAAGCGACGGUAACCAUUCACCAUCAGGUGGGCCAUAUGCACGUCUGCCUAAAAAAGCAAUAAGUAAUAUAUAAAUGGUCUUUUAUGUGGUCAAUGAUCAAAAUUAAAAGAUACGACUGAAGAAAAUCAAUGCUUUGUCUCCUUACGGCUAUAAACAUUACAUUUAUACCUCGACUUUGUGUGUGGUAAUGGUGGUCUGGUGGCAUUGUCUAUGGGCUCCGGUAAUCACUAAACACCAGGUAAACCGUGCUCUCGUUAGCACGUCGAAACAAUAAAAAAAAGAUGCAAGCGAAUAUUCAGUAAGCACUAAAAUAAAAACUUGAAUAUGAUAUAUUCCUAUUUGAGCUAAUUGUCCAACAAUUCUUCAUCAACAGGUAAAUUGAUACAAUUAACGAACGGGAAACAGCUUUACAUGUUAAACGGCUAUACAUAUUACAAGAAAUAUCGCCUACAGAAAAGCCACGCGGUAAGAUGGCCCUGCACUAAAAAAUGCAAAGCCUACUUGCAUUUGGACGAUGAUUUGAACGUUGUGUUGAUCUCGUCGACUAAUCAUAGUCACGACCCGGGCCAAUACGUUCAAACGAAAUCAGGACGAUACGUUAAACUGUGAACAAUAUUUUUAAAAGACCGUCUAGUGGUUCGGCGGAAUGGUCAAAGAAAUGUCAAUUUAUUUUUAUUAUGUGAGCGUAGUUUUUCUGAAUAUAAUGCCUUUCCCGUGGGAAUGAGUCUUUUUUUCGGGAUCAAUGUUAGCCCAUUUCACUCUCUAGAUGUAAAACAGUCGUUUCUAAAUAAAAACGUCAAUCCAUUACUUCGUUUCGAUGUAAAAGGACAAACAAACUUCCACAUUUACCGAUUAACCACGUUGGGUGGGCGAAAUAAACGUCUCACCCAGAAAGGCAGGGGUUUGAUAACAACGCCCACGAAGGAAGCCUAUUAGCUCAAAAGGGAUGAUGCUUCGCAAGUGCAUCUGCCACAGGAACGGAAUCGCGAUUGGCUGAGAAGAUCCGGGAAGAAAUUGGAUUAAUCCUACUAUCCUAUACCAUAAAAAUAGAUUGCUAUAUGACUUUUUUUCUGGGCUGAGGGUCGACCCUUCUACGAGGUCCCCGAGCCUUGGGGGUUGUGUGGGACUGGACGAUCCGCUGAUGUUGGGAGCGAGCCACGGGCCUUAGGACGGUAUUUAAGACCCUACCCACUAAACCACUCCCAUACACUCUCGUCCAAGCGUCCGAUCUUCUCCGUGGUCAGAAAUGUUGUAUGCUGCCCAUGACCUCAACAAUGUAUUUUUUUACCCACCACCUGGUAUGAAAUGAUUACCGAAACCCAUAGAUACCACAACGUGAAUUUUGCUACCCAGUUUGAGAUAUGAUGUCUUAGUCUCAAUUUUUUUUUUUUUUUUUUUAUGAUUGAAAGAUUACUGGUGGCCCGGAGGCCUUUCCAGCUUCACCAGGACAGGUGGGCGAGCAAAGGCUCAGCCAGGAGGGGUCAAUUUUAUUACGGCUACCCAGUCUUCCAAACUAACGCAUAACCGCUUCAGGAUACAAGUAGGCAGCAGCAAUAAUGUUAUCAAUUUGUAUUUUUAUACACGGUGUUAUUCGUUUAAUAUGCACGCGGUUCGUAAACAUGGCUUAAUUAUUUAAAUAUUUUGCUUUCUAUAGAUCGUUUAGUGGUCAUAAAGACUAGUAGAUUACGUGACUCGAGUACGGGAUUUGACAUCUUUCUACAUGUUUCUAUCUCGUAUGUGUGUUUAAGGUACUCAUAACACAGGAGACAAUUUUAGCUGGAGCUGUCAAAGUACAUACAUCGUUUCUUAUAUCAUUGAGAAUACCGCUCGUUGCCUUCGUGUGGUCCAAUAUGUAAACCUUAAAAUUGUAUAUUGUCAUUCAGCCAGUCCUAAGCUUCUGGUCUCUGGUUAGAAAAUGCUCGAUGACACCAUAGUUUGGGCAAGCAAGUACCUCAGGGUAUUCAAUGGCAAUUUAAAGUGUGCUCUUUAAUUGGGCCAACCAAAGCAACACUGAGGAAAAAGUUUUGAUUACAGAAAACUAAAAAAAUAUUAUUAGCGGUAGAUUUCGUUCUUGCUAUUCGGGAUUUGGUCUUGACUCGAAUGUUGUGAUCUCAGGUCUGUAGGUUGGUAGGGAGCAGCCAUCAAUAUACACACAGCAUCAGGUAUGAUUUUUGAAAACUGAUUAAAACAUCAAAAACGUGCAACCUAAAUAAUUUAUGUAGACUCCGAUAAAACCAGCCUUCUGUACUAAUCCAACCCUUUUUCGUCAACAGGUCAACUGAUAGAAUUAACAAACGGGAAACAGUUUUACAUGUUAAAUGGCUAUACAUUUUACAAGAAAAAUCGCCUACAGAAAACCAACGCGGUAAGAUGGAACUGUACUAAAAGAUGCAGCGCCUACUUGCAUUUGGACGAUCAUUUGAACGUUGUGUUGGUCUCGUCGACUAAUCAUAAUCACGACCCGGGCCAUUACGUUCAAACGAAAUCAGGACAAUACAUUAAACUGUAAACAAUAUUAUUAAAAGUUCAUCUGGUGCUUCGGCGGCAUGGUCAAAGAAAUCUCAAUUUAUUUUUAUAACGUGUUACGUAGUUUUUCUGAAUAUAAUGUCUUUCCCGUGGGAAUGAGUCUUUUUUUCGGGAUCAAUGUUAGCCCGUUUCACUCUCUAGAUGUAAAACAGUCGUUUCUAAAUAAAAAGUCAAUCCAUUGCUUCGUUUCGACGUAAAAGGACAAACAAACUUUCACAUUUACCGAUUAACCACGUUGGGUGGGCGAAAUAAACCCAGAAAGGCAGGGGUUUGAUAACAACGCCCACGAAGGAAGCCUAUUAGCUCAAAAGGGAUGAUGCUUCGCAAGUGCAUCUGCCACAGGAACGGAAUCGCGAUUGGCUGAGAAGAUUCGGGAAGAAAUUGGUUUAAUCCUACUAUCCUAUACUAUAAAAAUAGAUUGCUAUAUGACUUUUUUUCUGGGCUGAGGGUCGACCAUCCUACGAGGUCUCCGAGCCUAGAGGGCUAUGUGGGAUUGGACGACCCGCAGAUGUUGGGAACGAGCCACAGGCCCAAGGAUGGUAUUUAGGACCCUACCCACUAAACCACUCCCAUGCACUCUCGUCCAAGCGCCCGAUCUUCUCCGUGGUCAGAAAUGCUGUAUGCUGCCCAUGACCUCAACAAUGUAUUUUUUUACCCACCAUCUGGUAUGAAAUGAUUACGAAGCCCAUAGACGCAUUACCGGUUCGAUGCACAAAUAGGCAGCAACAACAAUUACGACAAUAUUCUUCUUCUUCUUCUUCUCUGUCGUUUCCUCAUCGCUGAGGGUCGUGACCACCUUGGUCCAGUUUUUGCACCAGCUUCCUCCAAUGCUGCCUGCAUUCAUAUAUUUUUUUAAUCAGUAUAUUUUUAUACACGGUGUUAUUCCUUCAAUAUGCAUGCCGCUUGUAAACAUGGGUUAAUUAUCUAAAUGUUUGCGUUCUAUACACCGUAUAGUGGUCAAUUAUAAAGAAAUAGUAGACCACGUGACUCGAGUACGGGAUUUGACAUCUUUCUACAUGUUUCUAUCUCGUAUGUGUGCUUACGGUACUCAUAACACAGGAGUCAAUUUUAGCUGGAGCCGUCAAGGUAUAUCGUUUCUUAUAUCACUGAGAAUACUGCUCGUUGUCUUCAUGUGAUUCACUACGCAAAUUUUAAAAAUGUAUAUUGUCAUUCAGCCAGUCCCAAGCUCUGGUUUGAAAAUGCUCGAUGGCACCAUAGUUUGAGCAAGCAAGUACCUUAGUGUAUACAAUGGCAAUUUAAAAGGCCAACCAAAGCAACACUGAGGAAAAUGUUUGGUUACAGAAAACUUAAAAAUUAUUAUUGGCGGUAGAUUUCGUUCUUGCUAUUGGUCUUGACUCGAAUGUUGUGAUCUCAGGUCUGUAGGUUGGUAGGGAGCAGCCAUCAAUAUACACACAGCAUCAGGUAUGAUUUUUGAAAACCGAUUAAAACAUCAAAACCGUGCAACCUAAAUAAUUUAUGUAGACCCCAAUAAAACCAGCCUUCUGUACUAAUCCUCAAACACUUCUUCGUCAACAGGUCAACUGAUAGAAUUAACAAACGGGAAACAGUUUUACAUGUUAAACGGCUACACGUAUUACAAGAAAAAUCGCCUACAGAAAACCAACGCGGUAAGAUGGCCCUGCACUAAAACAUCGACAUGCCACGCCUACUUGCAUUUGGACGAAGAUUUGAACCUUCUGUUGGUCUCCUCGAACAAUCAUAGUCACGACCCGGGCCGAUACGUUCAAACGAAAUCAGGACAAUAUAUAAAACUGUAAACAAUCUUUUUAAGAGACCAUCUAGUGGUUUAGGGGCAUGGUCAAAAAAAUGCUAAAUUAUUUUUAUAACGUGUUACGUAGUUUUUCUGAAUAUAAUAAAUGUCUUUCCCAUGGGAAUGAGUCUUUCUUUUUUCGGGAUAAAUGCUAGUCUAUGUCACUCUACAGACCUAAAACAUUUAAAAAAAACGUCAAUCCAUUGCUUCGCUUCGAUGUAAAAGAAGGACAAACAAACAAACUUCCACAUUAAAAAUAUUCUUAAAGAGCCGAAAUAAAGCGAUUUCAUUCGCCUAUCUUACUGUUUAUACGAAGGCGCUUAUAAAGAGUGUAAUAUGCCCGCAUGUGUUAAUUUCUGAUUUUGAUUGCCCAAAACCAGUAGAUAGAUAGCUAUCUACGGACUUUCAUGAAACAUUUAAGGGCGAUAGAGUGAAACCACGUAUGCAACGAAUUAAAGCAUCUUAGAAAAUCUUAAUGCUGGUAGGACGUGAUGUCUGCCUAUUUUUGCGGUGAAGCAGUAAUGCGUUUCGGUUUGAAGGGUGAAGCAGCCGUUAUACUAUAACAUUGAAAGUCAGAACUCAUGUCUUAAGUUACGCGGUGGCGUUUACGUGUGUCUGUCUAUGGACUCCAGUAACUACUUAAUACCAAAUGGGUCGUGAGCUCGUCCACCCAUCGUAAGCGAUAAAAUAAAAGUAGUGAAAUGGUGCAAAAGCAGUUUAUUAUUCAGAACGCUGUCACACAUAUGAUGUAUGAUUUGUAUAACAGCAUUCUAGGUUCUACGCUCAACGCGAAAUAGAAUGGCUCUGACUUAAAUACGAAAAUUUCUAGAAACAAACAUGAUGCUUGCAAUAAAAACAUUGGUAGUUUAAACGAAAGUCAAAACUCUGAAGACAUGAAAACAUGGGUUAAUUGUCUAAAUAAUUUUCCUUCUAUGGAUCUUUAAAUGGUCAAUUAUAAAGACUAGUAGACAACGUGACUCGAAUACGGGAUUUGACAUCUUGCGACAUGUUCUUGUCGUAUGUGUGUUUUCGGUACCCAUAACACAGGAGACAAUAAAAUUCUGGCUCGAGCUGUCAAAAUAUAUCGUUUCUUAUUUCGUUGCCUACGCGUGGUUCACUACGUAAACCUUAAAAAUGUACAUUGUCAUUCAGUCAGUCUCGAGCUUAUGGUCUCUGGUUAGAAAAUGAUCCGUGACGCCACAUUUCGGGCAAGCAAAUACCUAAUGGCAAUUUAAGGUGUGCUCUUAAAUUGGACCAACAGUUAAAAGCAGGACUGAAGAAAAUGUUUGGUUAAAGAAAGCUUAAAAAUGAUUAUUGGCAAUAGAUUUCAUUCUCGCCAUUCGGGAUUUGGUCUUGACUCGAAUGUUGUGAUCUUGAACUCAGGUCUGUAGGUUGGCAGGCAGGAACCAGCAAUAUACACACAGCAUUAGCUAUGAUAUUUGAAAACUGGCUAAAACAUCAAAAACGUGCAACCUAAAUUAUUAAUGUAGACUCCGAUAAAAUCAACCUUCUGUACUAAUCCUGCAACCCUUCUUCGUCAACAGGUCAACUGAUAGAAUUAACAAACGGGAAACAAUUAUUCAUGCUAAACGGUUACACAUAUUACAAGAAGAACCGCCUACAGAAAGGCCACGCGAUAAGGUGGCCCUGCACCAAGUCUUCGAAAUGCAGCGCCUACUUACAUUUGGACGAAGAUUUGAACCUUCUGUUGGUCUCGUCGACCAAUCAUAGCCAUUAUCCUGACCGAUACCUUAUAACGAACACGGGAAAAUAUAUUAAAGUGUAAUAAUACCUCUUUUUAAAACGCCACUACGUUCUACCCGCAUCUUCGAUGGCAUUAUCUAGGAAAAGUGUCAAUAAUGUUUCUAAAGUGUCACGUAAUAUUUUCUAGAGUUAAUAAAAUGUUUUCCCAUGCGAUGAGGUUUUUUUUUUCGGUAUUUAAGAUAGCCUCUGUUACUCUCCAGGUCUAAGACUGUCACAUAAACAAAGUAAUGUCAAUCCUUUGCUUCGUUUCGAUGAGAAUGAAGAACAAAGAAACAAACGCAAUUUCAUAUCUAUUCUAAUAUUAUAAAGAGGAAAGAUUUGUUUGUUUGUUUGUUUCGAAUAGGCUCCGAAACUGCUGGACCGAUUUGAAAAAUUCUUUUUCCAUUAGAAGCCGACAUUGUCCCUGAUGAACAUAGGCUACUUUUUUUUAUUUUUUUUUAUUUUAUUUUUUUGGUUUCAUGUGUGUUUUAAUGUUUCCGAAGCGAAGCGAGGGCGGGUCGCUAGUUUAUAAUAUUAUAAGUAUGAACAUAAAGAACAAAUAACUCGGUUGCAUGCGCCAAGCUCACUACCAUAGGUCUGUAAUGGAGGCAAUCGUAAAGUUUGGGGAAAAAUAAAAUGAAAUAAACGGUUAAACAGCUGACAAUAUAAUAAAGUGUAGACAAUAUUUUUAUAAUACCGCAAGAGGACAUACAAUCACGGGCUGAUCGCUCUAGCCGGUCUGCGGGCCAUCGAGGCUUACCUACGGGAUGGUGCAGGCGCUGACCCAAUACGGUCCUUUCGAUACCAGAUUGAAGCUAAGCUGACGGCAGAAUGCUUGCAGUAGUCGAUGCAUGUUGGACAUAACGGUACACGCGCUCACUGUAUGCAGCACCGCUUAAUCUACACACAAAUCGCGGCCGUCUUGUUCCUGACGGGUGAUACUCGACUUGCUUGCUCGAAUUACUGCAGAACCAAGCGGGGGUAAAAAACGGCCAUCGUCUGCGGCAAUGAGACAGAAAAGGUAUCGAGAGAACUUAAAAAUAAAUAACCCGUUAAAAUACGAGGAACUGAGGAGAGAGAAUGCGAGACGAACGAAAAUGAAAUACAGACGAGUUGAGGAGAUGCCGGAAACCGAGAAACUGGCCCAGAGAAAACUGUGGAGAAAGAAGAAGCAAAAAAUUAAAAAUGAAUCUCAUUAGACCUAGAACUUGCCUCGCCCGAAAACGUAACCCAGCAAAUAAAUCUUUCGCGAAUACAUAGAUAAUUGUGACCAAUUAUGAUAACAAAAAAAAGACAAAGAAAACAAUACAUUAUUAAUGUCUUUGUUUUUUUUUAUUGCUUACUUGGGUGGACGAGCUCACAACCCACCUGAUGUUAAGUGGUUACUGAAGCCCAUAGACAUCUAUAACGUAAAUGCGCCGCCCACCUUGAGAUUAUAAGUUCUAAGGUCUCAAGUAUAGUUACAACGGUUUCCCCGCCCUUCAAACCGAAACGCAUUACUGCUUCACGGCAGAAAAAGGCGGGGUGGUGGUACCUACCCGUGCGGACUCACAAGAGAUCCUACCACCAGUAAUUACGCAAAUUAUAAUUUUUCUGGUUGGAUUUUUAUUACACGGUGUUAUUCCUUGACCGUAGAAGUCAAUCGUGAACAUUUGGUACGAAUUUCAUUAGAAAAAUUGAUACCCGCCUGCGGGAUUCGAACACCGUUGCAGCGCUCGAUACGAAUGCAUCGGACGUCUUAUCCUUUAGGCCACGACAACUUCAAACGACGUAAAUGUAAAUGUAUCUGUAAUUAAAUGAUUUCAAUAUUAA